rnacentral:lncRNA from 1 species
UUGUGGUUUUGAAGUCAUCUGUCUGGAUGUCAUUGAAGUUUCCACAGAGACCUAAAGGGAAGUAGAUAGGCUGUGAAAGUCUCCUACAAAAUCAAGCAUGCUGAUGAAGGCAGUUGUUAGAAUAAGAUCACUUACCACAGGUCUGCCCUUUCUGUGAUGGAUCUAAGUUUAUAAAAAGUUGCAUGAGAGGUACAAUUUGAAUCUGCAGCUGAAGACCGAAAGUUGUUUGUAAAAUGAUGAAAAAUGAUGAUGGUCUGAAGAUGGUGACAUUUGCUGUGGACAAAGAGGAAUAAUUUCACUUAAGAUAAACAGUUAAAACAACUUUUCACUAUAUAGGAGAAUUACACAGCCAUGUGUGAUCUUAGUUGUUGAAGAACAGAAAAAGUAUGUAUAGGAUUUCAAAUCCUGCACCAAGAUGGGCUAUCUUUACUUUAAAGAAUGAGUAUGCAAAAAAACUUCCACUUUUCCAUCAGUUGUUCUAAAGUGGAGGGAAAGGCAUACAUUUCUGUUCCUAUCUGAAAGAACACCUUUGCUUGAUGAAAAUGUUUAGCAUGAUUUAGUGGUAGGCUCCAACACAAAGCUAUUCUGUCAUUUAGUGAUUUGCUUUCUGUUCAGGUGCAGCAGUAUCUGAGAAGAAGUGGUAGGAUACUUUCCAGUGAGAAACAUCACAGAAGUCUUUGAAAGGAACUUACCUGCAGAGAAGGGCAGCUGUGUGUAGAUCAUAUUCACAAAUACACUGCCAGAAGGCUGGAUCACAAUGUUCUGCCCACAAGAAAAGGCAAUGAUUAUCAAGCAUGUUUAGGAAAGGUUUUCUGUCACAUUUUGGAUACUUUCUUACCAGAAGGGCAUCCUCUUCAUUCCAGAGGAAGGUCAGUCCUAACUUAGCAGAAACUUUCAAAUAGUUGUUGCUCCUCUCUAUCAAGAUUCCCAUAUGGCUGUAGGGCAUCUGAAUCCUGGGAAAAGAUCACCAUAAUUCAGUGGGAGUAAAGACAGAAUAUCCAUUGAGAGUGCAAAUUGAUACCAAUUCUCACUUUUUUGAGAAGCUUCAGUACACAAAGAUGAGGAAAUUAGCCAGAGCAAUAACUAAAUACAGACAGCUCAG